rnacentral:rRNA from 1 species
AUACGUAGGGAGCGAGCGUUGUCCGGAAUUACUGGGCGUAACGGGCGCGUAGGCGGCGCUUCAAGUCGUCUGUCAAAUGGGAGGGCUUAACCCUUUUUCGCCGUCGAAACUGGAACGCUUACGAAGUAGAGACGCAAACACAAUUUCUCGUGUAGCGGUGCAAUGCGUAGCUAUCAGGAAGAAUACCAGUUGCGAAGCGGGUUUGCUGGCUGCAUGCUGACGCUGAAGCGCGAAAGCCAGGGGAGCAAACGGGGUUAGAUACCCCGGUAGUCCUGGCAGUAAACGAUGUAUGCUGGGUGUGAGACUAGCGAUAGUUUCGUGCCGAAGUUAACGCGAUAAGCAUACCGCCUGGGGAGUACGGUCGCAAGAUUGAAACUCAAAGGAAUUGGCGGGG